ACGUCAUCACAAAUAAUCAACCAAUAGAAGAUCAGAUUUUCGCCACGUCAGAGGUUCCGCGCGUGUCCUUGCGUUUUGUGUUUUAUUAGGGAUUUUUAUUAUUAUCGUUCUUCAGCUCUUUAACACAGCCGUCUCCGACUCUUCGCUAAUCUUUGUCUGCAGACACCAUGAUUUCAUCUCUCAACUCUUAACCUCCCCUAUAGAUCAACGUAUUCCUCUUAAUUUUGCCAAUAAAUGUUAUUCUCAUUAACCCAAUACCUCUUUGUUUCCUUCAAGUCAACCCAAAGUCGUGGAAGCCGUCGCUAUGGCUGCUCUUAGGCGUAGCAAGAAGAAGAAGCUAAGUCGCAGACUCAUCCACUCAACAAUCGGUCGAAGUCGAAUCCGAAGAAGAAGAAGAAGAUGUUGAUGGUGACGAGGAGGAGGACACAGAGCCAUUGGCCGACGACUUUCUCGAUGGUAGCGAUGAUGAAAAGGAACCUCUGGGUUCUGAUUCUGGCAGGAUCUGGUAAAAGUAAAGUAAAGCUAUUGAUGAAGAACGUAAAAGGCAGGAGCAAGAUGCAAAAGAUGAACUACAUAUGAACAUAAAGGAACAACCUGACGAGUUCGUCUACCAACCAAAAAGGUUCAAUCUUUUUGUAGUUUUCCUGCCCUUUCAUGUGAAUUUGCAUCCGUUGAUGUGAGUGACGUCUUCGGAACAAAUAGGCUGAACGGAACAGCCUGACGAGUUUCGUCUACCAACCAAAAAGGAACUUGAAGAAGAGUCAAGUGGGCCACCAGAUCUUCCUACCUUGCAAACUAGGAUAAAAGAGAGAUUUGAGGCCAGAAGGAGUGAAGAAGAAGGAAUUUGUUGAAUAGAUUAAGGCUGAUAUUGGUUCUUAUUACGGCUAUAAUGAGUUUUUUAAUGGAAUUCUGGUUCAGAUGUUUCAUGGAACUAAUUGAAGCUUUUGAAAGCAAAUGCCUACGUCUAUACGUCCACACUCUUAAGGUGAACUUGGUUGUACAGUUAUACUGUGGAGUGUCUUGAAACUCUGAUUGAAGGUACAGUCUCCAGUCAUGAUGCUGCUCAAUCUCAACCAGACUUAUGAAUUAUGUUAUGGGACAAGGAUGAUAGUUACUCGACUAGGUAACAUGAUAGUCGAGGCUGAGAUCAUGACUGGGAAAGAUGCAGGUGAACAAAUAUUGAUUCCUCGGAUACAGCUUUCCCCUCUUGACACCAUGCAUCCUUUCACAUUAUGCCAAAGCCAAUAUCCGCUGCGUCUUUGCUAUGAGAUAAAAGUCAAGAACAAAGUCUGAAUCAAGUUGCUUUAUAUCUUCCUAGGACCGUCUUCACUCACGGCCAGUUGUACGUAGAGGCAGGAUCGGCUCCCUCUGCCUACGAAGGCUCUUCGGAAAAUCAGACGACGCCGACACCUUCUUCCUCGCCUCUAUCUUGCGCCACUUUCUCCACGUCAUGACGGACAAGAACGCGGGCUACCUUGCCACUCAUGAGAUGCGAGUUUUCAGCCACGAGAAGAAAAUGGCAAUGCGCGACCAAAUUCUCCAACACGUGAUUCACCUGGUGCGUGACCAAUACGGCUGCAUCGCGCUCAAUGCAAUCAUUAGCGAGGUGGUCUUUGACUACUGCAGAAACGACCUCCAUGAUGUAGUCGCGUUCAACACUCCUUUGCUAAGCAGCGAUGCUUAUGGGAACCAUGUGGUCCGACACGUGCUUAAGCAGAAUAACUUGCGUCGCACAUAUGACAUUGCGGUUAGCCUCCGUGGCCAUUACGUUGAGCUCUCUUUUACGAGGUAUGGAAGCCGCAUCGUGGAGAAGCUUUUGGAGAGGAAGGAGACGGGGCCUUUGGUGGUGGCAGAGCUUUUGGAGUGCGGAAGAGACAAGUUGCGCAGGCUGACGAAUUUCGUGGUAGAAACGUCACUGAAAGUCACGCCGGAGGAUCUUUAUAGGGCUUUGGUGAAUAAGCUCAAGCCUUUUCUCCCUCAGUUGCGUAGGUCUACUUAUGGCACCAACAUUGCAGAAAUAUUGGAGUCGAUACGUUAGCUUUUUUUUGGAUAGACUCGGUGACGGGAUUUUGCUGAUGCACUUUUGAACAGAUGAGAGGAGUUGAUCUAGAUCCAUUAAGCAAGUGGUCAAAAGUAAGUUGUGUUUGAAGAUUGUCUUCCUUUCGAUUGAAGGAAUGUGAUGGAUAUGAACACUACUUACGGUGGUUUAGCUGCUGCUUUGGUCGAUGAUCGUUUGUGGGUUAUGAACGUUGUGUCGUCUUACGCUGCGAAUACACGCUUCCCGUUGUGUUUGAUCGUGGAUUGAUUGGAACAUAUCACGACUGGUGUGAAGCUUUUUCAACUUAUACAAGAACUUACGAUCUUCUUCCCGUUGCUGGUUUGUUUACAUAUGAGAGCCAAAGGUGUGAGAUGAAAUAAGUAAUGCUGGAAAUGGAUCGGAUCUUGCGUCCUAAUGGGUAUGCGAUUAUACGCGAGUCGAGCUAUUUCGCCGAUAAUGUUGCAUCCGUUGCUAAAGGACUGAGAUGGAGUUGCCGUAAGGAACAUACAGAGUCUGAGUCAGAGAACGAGAAGUUCUUGAUUUGCCAGAAGAAGCUGUGGUAUUCUUCUAACGCUACGUCAGUAACAAAAUAGUAAAAAGUGAGAGGGGCAAAAUCUAAAGUUAAGCUUAAAGCCUUGGUUUUGGGUGUCCUGUAGAUUUCUUGAGAACAAAGUCACAACAACAAACAUAGGUUCUUUGUCUUCCUUCAAAGCCAAGAAAGGUGUUUAAAGCAGCUGCCAAUUCUUAUUUUAUUAUCCCAGCAUAUUUAUCAAGUUUCGAGUUUUGCUUAUUGUAUAUGCUUGGUGAGAAUUAUAUUAUUGAUCUUUUUUUUAAACUGUAAUUUUAAAUUUGAAAUGGUCGAGAUUUCUCCAAAGUUAGCUAUAUUGAUUUGAGAUACA